UAACAGGUGGUAUUAAUGUCGUGUAAAAACAGUGAACUCUGUCACGCAGCUUUGGUCGAAGCGGUUCAUUUGUCCAGCACCUGUGACUAGGUUAGACUCACUCACCGUACAGCCCCCGGAGUUUAGCCGAAAAGAAGUAGAAAACUGUGCAGUAUAAACACGGGUAUUAGACAGUUAUACAUCUAUAAACGACGAAAAAAAAAUAACACAUAUUCAUAUCUUGAUACGAAAGGUCCAUGAAACAUUAUCAAAAACAAUUAUUAUAAUGGAUUCAACGAAAUCAAUAACUCAAACGCCUUCCAAAUUUUUGUAUUUCGCUUACGGCAGUAAUAUGUCAGAAAAGCGUAUACAUAUCAACAAUCCAAGUGCAGUGAAAUGUCGAAUUGGAAAAUUGAAGGAUUUUCGACUUGAUUUCAAUACACAAUCCAAGAGAUGGCACGGUGCGUCUGCUACAAUAAUUCCAACGGAAGAUUCUCAUGUAUGGGGUGUUAUAUGGCUGUUGGAUAACAAAGAUAUGCCAAAUCUCGAUGAACAGGAAGGAGUCGAUCAAAAAAUAUAUUUUCCUAUGACGGUUGAAGUAGAAGUUCCGGACCUUCGUGAUCGACCAUUCAAAUGUCGGGUUUAUCAACAAUGCACAAAUCCUGAAGAAUUUCAAGUGCUAUCCCAAUUACCUGAGGAACGAAGGCCUUCACAAGUUUACCUAAACACGAUAAUUCAAGGAGCUGUAGAAAACGAACUGCCUUCGUACUAUAUAGAAUUUCUCAAAACAAUUGCACAUAAUGGUUACACUGGCGAAGUUGAUAUUGGCCUGGCUCUGAAUGAAAUUUGAAGUUGUUAAUUGGUUGAUCACCGACGUAACUGAGAAAUUUGGGCGAUUGAGCGACCAGUCUGGAAGCCUCUUCCAUUGUCAUCUCGUCAAGGCUGUAUCGAGGUACCUUCAGUGAAAAUAUUUCCACUUCGUUGACCUGGGAAAAGUAAAAAAAAUCAGGGAUAAUAUAUUCGUAAAAAAUCUCUGCGUAUACUCGUGUCAUCAUCCGCCAAAUGAUAAGGGGCCGAACAAAAUCCGGACCAUAAUUCUGAUGCGAAUUGUGGGGCCAGGGGAGCGAGCAUUAUUAUUUGCGUUGCUAAAGCUCUUUCGUAUUCUCGACUGUGCGUCACACAUUCGUUUGACACUUUUCUUAUGCUAUAAAUAGAGUGACAGAUGAGUAUCACGAAAAUCGAACAACGAACAAAAAUUCUUUUAGUGAGAAGUAAAAUUUCGGGACCAUUCAUUGUUUA